rnacentral:tRNA from 1 species
GCGUCAGUGGUGGAACGGUAGACACGCUACCUUGAGGGGGUAGUGCCUUACGGGCGUGGAGGUUCAAAUCCUCUCUGACGCACCA